GAUGGAAUUGUACGCUCCUAACACUUAAAGUUCACUACUGUGUUCUGUAAAAACUUCCUGAAUAUAGGUCAUUCCCUUUGUUAGCAGUUUAACACAGCUUAUAUAAUUUACCCAUUUAAAGUAUAUAAUUCAGAGCUUCUGAUGUUACAUUAUUAAUAAUGUAAAAAUGCACUAUUAAAAUAUAUAUUGCAUCAGGUAUAGAUCUAUAAUUUCAGCUCUCAGGUUACUGAGUUCAAGGUCAGCCUGGGCUACUUAGCUUGUCAGGACAAGGUCAGCCUGAGCUACAAAACAAAUUAAGGAACCCUAGAAGUUUUAAAUUUAUCACUCUAAGUGUAUGCCUUUUGGUGUGAGUGCAUUAGCUGUCUUCAGUGUUCAUCUCCAUCCCUUGUAUUUUAAAAACUUUUUCCUCGUGUCAAAAACUCUAACCACACCCCCUUUCCCUUGAAAACCUCUAACACAUCUCUGCGUCUAUGAAUUCGCCUAAUAGCUCAUGUGAGUGGAAUCAUGGAAUGUUUGUCUUCUUGGGCAUGGCUACUUUCACUGAACAUUUUUAAGGUUCGUCCAUGGUGUAUAAUGAAAUGUACUUGUUA